CAGAAAAUAGUUUACGUUAAAAUAUUAAUAUUGGGAAUUAACGAUGAGAGGGUUCCUCUUUUUUCUGA
rnacentral:tRNA from 1 species